rnacentral:lncRNA from 1 species
UUUUUUUAAAAAGACUUGGAUGAAGCAUCCAAUAUACUUGGCAUCUAUAAAGAUAGAUGUAAGUGGAUGCUAGGCUUGUUUUAGUCUAGGUAUAUAGAUUUUAUGUUGAAGAGAUUCAACAUGAAUGGGUUUACUUACCCAUAUAUUCAAUGUACCAAGCCUGAUAUGGUUUAUGCCUUGUACAUAAUCCUUGAUUUCAGGC